AAGUCGAGGGGCAGCAUGAACUUAGCUUGCUAAGUUUGAUGGCGACCGGCGCACGGGUGAGUAACACGUAUCCAACCUGCCCUUCACAGGGGGAUAACCGGGAGAAAUUCCGACUAAUACCGCAUACGUCCUCCGGGGGCAUCCCCUGGGGAUGAAAGAAUUAUCGGUGAAGGAUGGGCAUGCGUGAUAUUAGGUAGUUGGCGGGGCAACGGCCCACCAAGCCCACGAUAUCUAGGGGUUCUGAGAGGAAGGUCCCCACAUUGGUACUGAGACACGGACCAAACUCC
rnacentral:rRNA from 1 species